rnacentral:rRNA from 1 species
CCCUUAGAUGUUCUGGGCCGCACGCGCGCUACACUGAUGCAAUCAACGAGUUCCUUGGCCGAGAGGCCUGGGCAAUCUUUUGAACCUGCAUCGUGAUAGGGAUAGAUUCUUGCAAUUAUUAAUCUUGAACGAGGAAUUCCUAGUAAACGCAGAUCAUCAAUCUGCAUUGAUUACGUCCCUGCCCUUUGUACACACCGCCCGUCGCACCUACCGAUUGAAUGGUCCGGUGAAGCCUCGGGAUUGCGACUGGUGCCUUUAUUGGUGUUGGUUGCGAGAACUUGUCUAAACCUUAUCAUUUAGAGGAAGGUGAAGUCGUAACA